rnacentral:sRNA from 1 species
UGGCCCGGUGGCGUAGCGGUUAACUACGCUGCCAGGUGUCCCAGAAGGGGCGCGGGUUCGAAUCCCGCAGGGCUCAUUUAACCAAUUUCCACUGUUAAAUCACCAAACAGUACCGGAAGUCCCCGGGUUCGGAGGCAUUCGGGCGCUAAUUCUCACUGAUCUUGUGGGGCUAGAACCCCCCGGGCGCUUCAAGUUAGAUCAGUACUAGAUAGGUAUAGUGGGGUGGUGGUGGCGUGGUGGGUGGAGCAACCCGCGGGAUAGCGAAUCAUCGUCAAGCUUAACCGGCCAGGGAUUCAUUGCACUGCCCCAUUCAGCCCCACUAAUCUAUCUAGGCACCCCUAAAUUCCGGGGAAUAGAUUUAAAAACUAUCCGAUUAGGACACCCCGGGCCUAGCGAGGACCUAGGUGAGACGAGGCCUAGGCGCCCUUAAUAGGUGGUUAGUGCAAGCAAGGCCGUGACGGCCAAUUGGUAGGCUGGAAUGCCGAGAUUGGCAGCCGGAAGGUCGGGGGAUUUAACUAGAAUUGGGUAGCUCUGGCGUUAUUCUUAGUGAGGAUCCCACUUAGGUAGGCUAGUUAAGGAACCCGGGUGGGCGGCAGUGCUCUAGGGGGAAUGAUAACCCCUAGAGUGGCCCGAGAGGACAGAGGCGGCGGCCGGUUAUAUAGGGUGUUAAAAUAUGUAUAUAGCUCAAGGUGUAAACUGCAGGG